rnacentral:rRNA from 1 species
GCAAGUCGAACGGUAACAGAGAAUAGCUUGCUAUUUUGCUGACGAGUGGCGCACGGGUGCGUAACGCGUAUGCAACCUACCUUUUACUGAGGGAUAGCCCAGAGAAAUUUGGAUUAAUACCUCAUAGUAUCAUAAAUGUUCAUGCAUUAAUGAUUAAAACUUCGGUGGUAAAAGAUGGGCAUGCGUAAGAUUAGCUAGUUGGUAAGGUAACGGCUUACCAAGGCGACGAUCUUUAGGGGGCCUGAGAGGGUGGUC